rnacentral:rRNA from 1 species
GAUUAAGUUAUUAAGGGCGCACGGUGGAUGCCUUGGCACUAGAAGCCGAUGAAGGACGUUACUAACGACGAUAUGCUUUGGGGAGCUGUAAGUAAGCUUUGAUCCAGAGAUUUCCGAAUGGGGAAACCCAGCAUGAGUUAUGUCAUGUUAUCGAUAUGUGAAUACAUAGCAUAUCAGAAGGCACACCCGGAGAACUGAAACAUCUUAGUACCCGGAGGAAGAGAAAGAAAAUUCGAUUCCCUUAGUAGCGGCGAGCGAAACGGGAAGAGCCCAAACCAACAAGCUUGCUUGUUGGGGUUGUAGGACACUCUAUACGGAGUUACAAAGGACGACAUUAGACGAAUCAUCUGGAAAGAUGAAUCAAAGAAGGUAAUAAUCCUGUAGUCGAAAAUGUUGUCUCUCUUGAGUGGAUCCUGAGUACGACGGAGCACGUGAAAUUCCGUCGGAAUCUGGGAGGACCAUCUCCUAAGGCUAAAUACUCUCUAGUGACCGAUAGUGAACCAGUACCGUGAGGGAAAGGUGAAAAGCACCCCGGAAGGGGAGUGAAAUAGAACCUGAAACCGUGUGCUUACAAGUAGUCAGAGCCCGUUAAUGGGUGAUGGCGUGCCUUUUGUAGAAUGAACCGGCGAGUUACGAUUUGAUGCAAGGUUAAGCAGUAAAUGUGGAGCCGUAGCGAAAGCGAGUCUGAAUAGGGCGUUUAGUAUUUGGUCGUAGACCCGAAACCAGGUGAUCUACCCUUGGUCAGGUUGAAGUUCAGGUAACACUGAAUGGAGGACCGAACCGACUUACGUUGAAAAGUGAGCGGAUGAACUGAGGGUAGCGGAGAAAUUCCAAUCGAACCUGGAGAUAGCUGGUUCUCUCCGAAAUAGCUUUAGGGCUAGCCUCAAGUGAUGAUUAUUGGAGGUAGAGCACUGUUUGGACGAGGGGCCCCUCUCGGGUUACCGAAUUCAGACAAACUCCGAAUGCCAAUUAAUUUAACUUGGGAGUCAGAACAUGGGUGAUAAGGUCCGUGUUCGAAAGGGAAACAGCCCAGACCACCAGCUAAGGUCCCAAAAUAUAUGUUAAGUGGAAAAGGAUGUGGCGUUGCCCAGACAACUAGGAUGUUGGCUUAGAAGCAGCCAUCAUUUAAAGAGUGCGUAAUAGCUCACUAGUCGAGUGACACUGCGCCGAAAAUGUACCGGGGCUAAACAUAUUACCGAAGCUGUGGAUUGUCCUUUGGACAAUGGUAGGAGAGCGUUCUAAGGGCGUUGAAGCAUGAUCGUAAGGACAUGUGGAGCGCUUAGAAGUGAGAAUGCCGGUGUGAGUAGCGAAAGACGGGUGAGAAUCCCGUCCACCGAUUGACUAAGGUUUCCAGAGGAAGGCUCGUCCGCUCUGGGUUAGUCGGGUCCUAAGCUGAGGCCGACAGGCGUAGGCGAUGGAUAACAGGUUGAUAUUCCUGUACCACCUAUAAUCGUUUUAAUCGAUGGGGGGACGCAGUAGGAUAGGCGAAGCGUGCGAUUGGAUUGCACGUCUAAGCAGUAAGGCUGAGUAUUAGGCAAAUCCGGUACUCGUUAAGGCUGAGCUGUGAUGGGGAGAAGACAUUGUGUCUUCGAGUCGUUGAUUUCACACUGCCGAGAAAAGCCUCUAGAUAGAAAAUAGGUGCCCGUACCGCAAACCGACACAGGUAGUCAAGAUGAGAAUUCUAAGGUGAGCGAGCGAACUCUCGUUAAGGAACUCGGCAAAAUGACCCCGUAACUUCGGGAGAAGGGGUGCUCUUUAGGGUUAACGCCCAGAAGAGCCGCAGUGAAUAGGCCCAAGCGACUGUUUAUCAAAAACACAGGUCUCUGCUAAACCGUAAGGUGAUGUAUAGGGGCUGACGCCUGCCCGGUGCUGGAAGGUUAAGAGGAGUGGUUAGCUUCUGCGAAGCUACGAAUCGAAGCCCCAGUAAACGGCGGCCGUAACUAUAACGGUCCUAAGGUAGCGAAAUUCCUUGUCGGGUAAGUUCCGACCCGCACGAAAGGCGUAACGAUUUGGGCACUGUCUCAACGAGAGACUCGGUGAAAUCAUAGUACCUGUGAAGAUGCAGGUUACCCGCGACAGGACGGGAAGACCCCGUGGAGCUUUACUGUAGCCUGAUAUUGAAAUUCGGCACAGCUUGUACAGGAUAGGUAGGAGCCUUUGAAACGUGAGCGCUAGCUUACGUGGAGGCGCUGGUGGGAUACUACCCUAGCUGUGUUGGCUUUCUAACCCGCACCACUUAUCGUGGUGGGAGACAGUGUCAAGCGGGCAGUUUGACUGGGGCGGUCGCCUCCUAAAAGGUAACGGAGGCGCUCAAAGGUUCCCUCAGAAUGGUUGGAAAUCAUUCAUAGAGUGUAAAGGCAUAAGGGAGCUUGACUGCGAGACCUACAAGUCGAGCAGGGUCGAAAGACGGACUUAGUGAUCCGGUGGUUCCGCAUGGAAGGGCCAUCGCUCAACGGAUAAAAGCUACCCCGGGGAUAACAGGCUUAUCUCCCCCAAGAGUUCACAUCGACGGGGAGGUUUGGCACCUCGAUGUCGGCUCAUCGCAUCCUGGGGCUGUAGUCGGUCCCAAGGGUUGGGCUGUUCGCCCAUUAAAGCGGUACGCGAGCUGGGUUCAGAACGUCGUGAGACAGUUCGGUCCCUAUCCGUCGUGGGCGUAGGAAAUUUGAGAGGAGCUGUCCUUAGUACGAGAGGACCGGGAUGGACAUACCUCUGGUGUACCAGUUGUCGUGCCAACGGCAUAGCUGGGUAGCUAUGUGUGGACGGGAUAAGUGCUGAAAGCAUCUAAGCAUGAAGCCCCCCUCAAGAUGAGAUUUCCCAACUUCGGUUAUAAGAUCCCUCAAAGAUGAUGAGGUUAAUAGGUUCGAGGUGGAAGCAUGGUGACAUGUGGAGCUGACGAAUACUAAUCGAUCGAAGACUUAAUCAA